UGAUAAAUUUGUUUACAAUAUGUCCAAAACUCUGCUGCGAGGCUGCUGACCAGCACCAACAGGAGGUCCCACAUUACACCCGUGUUAAAAUCCCUCCACUGGCUC